rnacentral:rRNA from 1 species
UACGGAAGGCAGCAGUGGGGAAUAUUGCACAAUGGGCGAAAGCCUGAUGCAGCUAUGCCGCGUGUAUGAAGAAGGCCUUAGGGUUGUAAAGUACUUUCAUCGGGGAGGAAAAAACAAAACUAAUAAUUUUAUUUCUUGACGUUACCCGAAAAAGAAGCACCGGCUAACUCCGUGCCAGCAGCCGCGGUAAUACGGAGGGUGCUAGCGUUAAUCAGAAUUACUGGGCGUAAAGAGCACGUAGGUGGUUUUUUAAGUCAGAUGUGAAAUCCCUGGGCUUAACCUAGGAAACUGCAUUUUGAAACUGAAAUACUAGAGUAUCGUAGAGGGAGGUAGAAUUCUAGGUGUAGCGGUGAAAUGCGUAGAUAUCUGGAGGAAUACCUGUGGCGAAAGCGGCCGUCCUAAACGAAUACUGACACUGAGGGUGCGAAAGCGUGGGGAGCGAAAC